rnacentral:rRNA from 1 species
CAAAGGGCUCACGGAGGAUACCUAGGCACACAGAGGCGAUGAAGGACGUGGUUACCUGCGAUAAGUCUCGGGGAGUUGGAAGCACACUUUGAUCCGGGAAUUUCCGAAUGGGGCAACCCCUUGAACGACCAACUGAAUAUAUAGGUUGGUGCGAGCUAACCCAGCGAACUGAAACAUCUUAGUAGCUGGAGGAAGAGAAAGUAAAUAACGACUCCCUCAGUAGCGGCGAGCGAACGGGGAAUAGCCCAAACCGAUAGUCUUGACUAUCGGGGUUGUGGGACAGCAAUAUGGAUCAACAAUUCUAGAAGAAACGUUUGAAUGGCGUGCCAUAGAGGGUGAAAGCCCCGUAAUUGAAAGAUGAAUUGACCUAGCUGUAUCCCGAGUAGCACGGAGCACGUGGAAUUCCGUGUGAAUCUGCGAGGACCACCUCGUAAGGCUAAGUACUACUGUGUGACCGAUAGUGAAACAGUACCGCGAGGGAAAGGUGAAAAGAACCCCGGGAGGGGAGUGAAAUAGAACAUGAAACCGUGAGCUUACAAGCAAUGGGAGCCCGACUAAUCGGGUGACCGUGUGCCUGUUGAAGAAUGAGCCGGCGACUUAUAGGCACUGGCGGGUUAAACCGAAAAUGGUGGAGCCACAGCGAAAGCGAGUCUUAAUAGGGCGUUUGUCAGUGUUUAUAGACCCGAACCCUGGUGAUCUAACCAUGGCCAGGAUGAAGCUUGGGUGAUACCAAGUGGAGGUCCGAACCGACUGAAGUUGAAAAUUCAGCGGAUGAGCUGUGGUUAGGGGUGAAAUGCCAAUCGAACCAGGAGCUAGCUGGUUCUCCCCGAAAUACGUUGAGGCGUAGCGUCUAGUGCUCCAGCAGGGGGGUAAAGCAACCAUUUCGGUGCGGGCUGCGAAAGCGGUACCAAAUCGAUAUGAACUCUGAAUACCCUGUGUGUAACUAGGCAGUCAGACUGUGGGGGAUAAGCUCCAUAGUCAAGAGGGAAACAGCCCAGACCGCCAGCUAAGGUCCCAAAAUUAACGCUAAGUGAUAAAGGAGGUGGGAUUGCCCAGACAACCAGGAGGUUUGCCUAGAAGCAGCCAUCCUCAAAGGAGUGCGUAAUAGCUCACUGGUCGAGCGAUCCUGCGCCGAAAAUGAAUGGGGCUAAGCGUUAUACCGAAGCUGCGGAUAAAUUUAUUUAUGGUAGGGGAGCGUUCUAUGUUGGGUGAAGCGUUAGCGUAAGCGGACGUGGACGGCAUAGAAGUGAGAAUGUCGGCUUGAGUAGCGAAAACAUGGGUGAGAAUCCCAUGCCCCGAAACCCUAAGGGUUCCUCCGGCAGGCUCGUCCGCGGAGGGUUAGUCUGGACCUAAGGCGAGGCCGAAAGGCGUAGUCGAUGGAUAACAGGUCAAUAUUCCUGUACCAGUUAUGUUUUGGGAAGGGGGACGGAGAAGGCUAGCCAGGCCAGAUGUUGGUUACUGGUUCAAGCGUUCAAGGCUUUGAGAGAUGGAGAAAACAUCUUGAGCUGAGGCGUGAGUACGAGCUGCUACGGCAGCGAAGUUGGUGAUGUCAUGCUUCCAAGAAAAGCCCUAUACCCGUUAAGACAUAAAUGCCAGUACCCGAAACCGACACAGGUGGGGUGGUAGAGAAUACCGAGGGGCGCGAGAUAACUCUCUCUAAGGAACUCGGCAAAAUGGCCCCGUAACUUCGGGAGAAGGGGUGCCAGCGAGAGCUGGUCGCAGUGAAGAGGCGCAAGCGACUGUUUACCAAAAACACAGGUCUCCGCUAAGUCGCAAGACGAUGUAUGGGGGCUGACACCUGCCCAGUGCCGGAAGGUUAAGGAAGCUGGUUAGCUUUUAGCAAAGCUAGCGACUGAAGCCCCGGUGAACGGCGGCCGUAACUAUAACGGUCCUAAGGUAGCGAAAUUCCUUGUCGGGUAAGUUCCGACCCGCACGAAAGGUGUAACGAUUUGCGCGCUGUCUCGGAGAGAGGCUCGGCGAAAUAGAAUUGUCUGUGAAGAUGCGGACUACAUACACCCGGACAGAAAGACCCUAUGAAGCUUUACUGUAGUUUGAUAUUGUGCUCGGGCUCUAAUUGCGCAGAAUAGGUGGGAGACGUUGAAAUAGUGCUUGUGGGCAUUAUUGAGUCAUCGGUGAGAUACCACUCUAUUAGAGCUAGGGUUCUAACGCUUACCCGUUAUCCGGGAAGCGGACAGUAUCUGAUGGGCAGUUUGACUGGGGCGGUCGCCUCCUAAAAGGUAACGGAGGCGCACAAAGGUUCCCUCAGGCUGGUUGGAAAUCAGUCGUUGAGUGCAAAAGCAGAAGGGAGCUUGACUGUGAGACCUACAAGUCGAACAGGGACGAAAGUCGGUUUUAGUGAUCCGACGGUUCUGCGUGGAAGGGCCGUCGCUCAACGGAUAAAAGUUACUCUAGGGAUAACAGGCUGAUCUCCCCCAAGAGUUCACAUCGACGGGGAGGUUUGGCACCUCGAUGUCGGCUCAUCGCAACCUGGGGCUGAAGUCGGUCCCAAGGGUUGGGCUGUUCGCCCAUUAAAGCGGUACGCGAGCUGGGUUCAGAACGUCGUGAGACAGUUCGGUCCAUAUCCGGUGUAUGCGCAGGAAUAUUGAGAGGAUUUCUCCCUAGUACGAGAGGACCGGGAGGAACGCACCUCUGGUGUGCCAGUUAUCGUGCCAACGGUAAACGCUGGGUAGCCAUGUGCGGAGUGGAUAACCGCUGAAAGCAUCUAAGUGGGAAGCCCACCUCAAGAUGAGUAUUGCCAUGGCUUAAGCCAGUAAGGUCACGGGAAGAACACCCGUUGAUAGGCUCUACGUGGAAGCUUGGUAACAAGUGCAGCGGAGGAGUACUAAUAGACCGAGGGCUUGACCA